CAGACGUUAAUACACAAAAAAACAUGUAUUAUCCCUACAAUGUAUUCUGUUUGAAUUUAUUUACCCGAGGAGGCUAUCGACUAUAACUGGGGAAAUCCCAAAUAGAAAUAGAAAACAGUUAAUGCAUGUUGUUCAUUUGCUUCAGAUAUUUUUAGUUUACCAUUAUUUGAAUGUCAAAUAUUUCUUUUCCUAUAAGGAAAUGAAGAAAAUUAUUUACGUGUUUAGUAAACGUGUGCACUAAAUGGCAGCAGACCAGAAGGAAAAUGCCUCAGUACAUGUUAUACCUAGACUUACAAAGUCUGUUGAGAUCAAAUAAUCUGUAAUAAUAUUAAUUUCUUCACACUGACACUAAUAUUUUCCCAGGAAAACAUUUUCUCUCUAGGCUCAUCUUUUUGACAGAGGCAAGAGAUAUUGUUAAUUUUUUUAGAAAGUGGUAUCAGAGAGGAUAUAUUUUAUGGCCAGGUGCUUUACAUUCAAUGACACUAACGACUGAUGUCAGUCUGAUGUUUUACCCUACCCCUAGGUAUUCUAUAAGAACCAUGAUCAAGAACUGGACGAUAUACUGACCCAUUUCAAUCGCGCAUUUCAGACCUAAAACGCGCAGUUCGGUAAAUGUGUACUAUGAACAUUGAACAAGUGGUAAAUCUUCCAAUGUGUGCCGGUUACAUUUCUUAAAUAUUUCUUACUUUAGAGGAACAACGCGUAGCUUACAGUUUUUCCGACGUUACACACACACACAAAACUUGGUUUGACUUCCUUUUGAAGUUCCUGUUUAGAUUACAAAACGAAUCUGGUUGGCUGAUGUGAAAAUGUAUGUCAGUCGUUUUAAAUAUAAAAUUUAAGUGUACUAUUUAGUUUGCAUUAUCCCAGGGAUGACUUUUAUAGAACGGUUAUUGUAAAAAUGACAUUAUAGAAAAUUUAACUCUUUUUAACAGCGGAACAAAUAUACGAAGACUCUAUAAUACAUUACUUAGUAUUAUCAUCAUCGAUCAUUUUGCCAAUAGACAGUUACAAACGAAUUUGAAAAAGCAGGUAUCAUUUUACAACUUUAAAGGAAAUGAUUUGAACUUAAUGGUUAUGGUUACCUUUGAUAUCUAAGAGGAGUAGAUGGAUAAUUCUGUGAUUAAAGGUGGUUAAUCAGAUUUUCGGAAAGUUAUGGAUUUGUUCAAAAGUUCAAACAUCUGGUCACUUACACUUAUUCAUGAUUGUUCACUACGCGCUAAAGUAAGGUUUUCACUGGAAGUGUUUGUGUAUUCUCUUUGCCAAACCAAAAUUCAUUUUUAUCUAAUAAAAAAAUGUCAGUCAUACUCAGCCUUGGGAGCUGUAGAAAUAUUCGAUCUGUUGUGUACUAUUUGUCAAAGCUUUACACUACACAAGAAUUACAUAUUUAGCCGAAGGUCAUCAGAAAUACAAGUCUGUGGAACAAUAUGCGAAAUUAUGUGAUAGAUCCGGAUACUCUUCUCUUUGGUAACCCAGACAUUGCUGAUCAAAAUAACAUGAAAAUAAUUGCUAAUGUACAGGCACUCCUGAUGCAGUCUCUUUUCGUCUUUCUUUCUGUUUCAUUUCUAUCAACGACUUAUCCUAUUUUUCUUCAAUAUCUUUCAAUAUUGUACAUGUACUCUUAACAUUUCUUUUAUCAUACAUUACACUUUUCCAAUUUUCACAUAAAUAACAAUUUAUAUUCUCAUAUUUUAAAACCAUAUUCCUAGCCCCAUUAAAGAUGUCUUAGGUCGAUAUACCCAUACAGUUAUGUUAGACUUGUCUUCCAUUCUUUACCUUUCCUGUGUCACUUUAACCAAAGUAAGAUAUAUAUGUUUUAUUGUAUGUACUUUAUUUCGCGAAUGAAAAUGUUCUGAAUCUGUGAAAGUAUUAUUUCUUCCCAUUUCUCUGUCUUAAUGAAUUCCGAAGCUACACUGAGUUUUAAAUCUAGACGUAUUUAGGUCAACUAAAUGGGAAUACAACAAUAGAAAUCAUAUUGAAAAAGAAAUACUCAGUUUAAAGUAAAGUGGAGGGAAUAAUUAUGAAAUUCUAUAAUACAGUAAAACAUCUUUUUUAAUAGUGAUCUAACACUGUGUUUUUGUUGUUCUUAAACUCAAGUAGAAUUUUAAAGAAAAACUGUGAAAAACUGUUCCUUAUAUAUGCUUGUCCACCUUUAAAGAAAAACAGAAUUUAAUAAAUAAUUCAUCACCGCAAAGCUAAAGAAAAUCGUUCUUUCCUUUAGAACCUGCGUCAAUAGCGAAGAGUCUGAGUUUUGUAAUAGGCUUUUAAGCAGCAGUGUAGAUUUAAAAAAAAAUAAUUUUAGAGGAAUAAAAUUUCAUUUUAAACUGAAUGGAAUAACGAAAGGCAAUUGGAUCAUGGCUGAGAUUGGAAUGUUGGGUAUUUGGUUCCUGGCAGUCCUGUCGGUAACAACAGCAGAACAAGCAGAAGAAGAUGGCGUGACCAACGUUGCACUUCACAAGAAUGUAUUGGCCAGUGUUUCUGAGUUUGACUCCAGUUUAGCAGUUGAUGGAAAGAUGACAAGGCGUUCUUGUAUUGAAAUGGAAACGGAAGGCGAUAUUUGGUGGCAAGUGGACCUCGCUGACAUAUAUACUAUCUUUAGCAUACGAGUAAUAACUUCAGUAGAUUUUUAUGACACUAAAGUUGAGGAGGAAGAGUCAUGCUACUAUGCGUUGAGGGCGUAUAAAGGUAAAGUAAACAGCACUCGUAGUGGAAGAAAAUGCCAGCGCUGGGAUUCCCAAACACCACAUAAACAUAGCUUCACGCAAGAGAAGUAUUGGUAUAGAGGAGAAGAUUUUCUGUCGGAUAACUUACUGCCGCUUGCCAAAUUAUAAUUUAAUGCCAUGGUGUUACACUACUGACCCUAAGAUGCGAUGGGAACCCUGUGAUAUACGUGUAGAGGAGUGCGAAUACGUGCUGAACAGUUAUACCAGUCUUAAGAUAGGCACUGUUGAAAACAACUUGGUAGAUACUGAUUAUACUGAGGUAGAUGACGAAUUUCAUCAUUCUUGGGAAUUUGUUUUAUCAAAUCAAACACUGGCUAGGUUCGUGAAACUGCUUCAGAUUGGUACUAACGGUCGUUUCCAUUUGUGCGAAGUGGAGAUUUAUGGAACAAAAGGGGAAGUCACUAAUGUCGCGUUGUACAAAAGUACUGAAAUGUCUAAAGAAGUGGUUCUUAAACACAAAGUGUUAGGUUCGAACCUUGCGGUUGACGGCAUAAAGGAUCAGACUCUUAGUGGCGGUUCAUGCUUUUUCACUGCUGAUGGUAAUAAUCCUUGGUGGCGGGUUGAUCUCGGAGACUUCUUUUUGAUAUUCAUCAUGAGGAUAUAUAAUCGAAUUGACUGCUGCAAGCUAUUAACCAAUGGUAUUACGGUUAUGUAACAGCAGGCAAUCGCUUCGACAGGGGAUUAAAAUCAAGAUCUGUAGAGCUGCGCUCUCACUGUUGAGACUGUUCGUGAGAGGUAAUGAAGAGUACUACACCUCUCAUAUUCCGUAGCACCGGGUUAAUUUCUUAAAUCUAAAUGACCAGGAAAUGAAACAACACUGAGUCAAAAUGCAAGGACACAUUUUGCAGUCACUACCAGACACUUUAAAGACUUUUGUUAUGCUAUUUAUGAAAAUGAAACAAACGAAGGAUCUUGCAUAGAAUGAAACCAAGCAAAAUGAUAAUAACAGGCUCGGUUUAUUUUAACCUGAAUCUCUGCAGCGAACAACAAAUACAUUCUUAUAGUGUGUUUUAUUCUUAUUUCAUCAUGGUAAUUCAACAUGAUUUGCAUCAGAAAUUUGAACAUCCUUUGUUAUUACUGUUAAAAAAUGACGGUAAAACGUAGGAGAAACUAAGACAUGGAGUGUUAAAUAUGUCAUUGAAUAAAUAAAAAAAAUGUGUAAAUACAUUAUCGGAACAAGAAGUAGCUCUCAUUCUGUAGUAAAGGUGUAUUUAUGUUGUCAUGAAGUUUACGUUGGGAAUUUUUGGUGUUAAAAAGAAAUACGGGUAAAAUAAUGGACAGAUAUUCUGUUGUAAAUGUUUUGUAUAUUUUAAGAAAGUCUUUAUUAAUUUUGAGUUUUAACAACAAAAGGUAUUUGGGAAGAGUUGAGUUUAAGCAACUCGACAUGUCCAGACAUAUGACAUUUUAAUGUUGAUUUAAACAAAUAAAGAUAAAUAUAUAAUGGAAUAUUGGUAUCUGCAAAUUGGAAAUCUUUUCUCUGAAGAUAUCUAGCUUGGUGUCACUUUAAUGAUACAUUACCUGUGGUUACGCAUAAGGACCUUUGAAUAGAAAUUCUUGCUGAGACGUCAAACACAUUUUACAAUUAUCAUGACUUUAAUCAAUAAAUAGGGAUAAGAUUGUGCCAUCAGAGAUGUAGUUAGACACCAUUUUCCCUUGUAUUACGCACAAUUUUAUUGUAGUUAAUUUGUUUACUUGUCAAAUCCUGUCUUAGUGUCCAAGAUUUUUCAUUGUAUAAUUUCACAGAAGUAAACCAUUUCCGAAUUCUUUAUAAGCACAUCCGCUUCCCCCAAGAAAGCCACAUACCUCUGGCUUCGUACGUAAAUAAAUAGUACUGGGAGAUGACAAGAUUUUUAUUCUUUUAUAGCAAUCAAAAGUAGACUGUCCCUACAGCCUGGGCCAUGAGGCGGAGGAAACGAAAGAAACUUUUGUAGGCAGGGAGCCUUAACAACGGCUAUAAUCUCUUCACAAUAUAGGCCAAUACCAUCUGUUUUAAAGACAACCCCAAACUUACAGUACAUAACUCAUACAUCAAAUACAUUCUCAUUAUUUGAUAAAUCUGUUAAUUUAUAGGUGAGAACGCGCAUGAUUUAACACUGUGGUUCUGGAACACUCCGGACGAUAUACACAGAUUGAUCUUAGAGGGACAAAUUGGAGACAUUCAUAAUAUGUAUACGGAUAUAGCAGCGAGAUUUCUGCAGUUGUCAUUGCCUGAAAAGUGGAGAUUUUCACUUGUGUGAAGUGGAAGUUUAUGGAAAAAUAGCUGAAUGCAAAUCUAAUCAGUGUAAAAAUGGCGGCAGUUGUUCCCCUAAAUACUGUGGCGACGACUCGGAUACCUGCAGAGACUACACAUGUACCUGCCCGACUGGUUUUGGUGGUGUCAUCUGUGAAUAUUGUAAGUUUUAAGAAGUGUUGUAAGAGCAGAACUUGA
rnacentral:lncRNA from 1 species